rnacentral:tRNA from 1 species
AUUUAGGUAGCCUUAUUUUAAAGUCUGAUAUUGAAAAUAUCAUUAAAGUUUUUAACUUCUAAAUA